UACAGAGGGUGCAAGCGUUAAUCGGAAUUACUGGGCGUAAAGCGUGCGUAGGCGGUUAUGUAAGUCAGGUGUGAAAGCCCCGGGCUCAACCUGGGAAUUGCAUUUGAGACUGCAUAGCUAGGGUGCGGAAGAGGGAAGCGGAAUUUCCGGUGUAGCGGUGAAAUGCGUAGAUAUCGGAAGGAACAUCAGUGGCGAAAGCGGCUUCCUGGUCCAGCACCGACGUUCAGGCACGAAAGCGUGGGGAGCAAACAGG
rnacentral:rRNA from 1 species